GCUGUUUGGGGCAGAUAAACUGUCAGUAUUUAGAACUGAGAGGAUUCCUUGUAGCAAAGCACGGGAGACUCGAGGUGUGGUUUGAGCUGUUCGAAUUUCUCUACUGGAUUAAACUGGGCACCUCUAAAGGUCUUCUUUAAAAACAAAGAAGAGAAAGCUCCUGUUUAACCUCCUGGAGGCUCAUCAAACCCCACAGCUGUCACGGUGCCCAAGAUCUAAUUUUAAAUGGGCCAGGAGCAAAGUUGGGGUUGGCAAACUUUACAGGCUUAUUCUGCAGGUCUGAAGAAGAUCUUGCUCCUGUUUUCAACGAAUGCUGUAGAGGAUUCUUGGAUAAAAUAAUUUGAACAGAUUUUGCUCAUUGGACUGUACUGGCAAAACCUUAAGCUUGUUUCUUAAGUGUUAAUCUGAAACAAGGACAAAAUCCCAACUCUGGGCCAAACAUUUGCCCUGACUGUGGGAUGGGGACAGGGCAAGUCAGGAUGGGCUCGUGCCCACGAACAGGUUGGGAGCAAACCUAGAUCAGGAAAAAAAUGGUUUCACUUGUUUCAACAAUGAAAUCAUUAAAAUGGCUUACAAAUAAUUUUUAGAUUUAUAAAAAACGUUAUAUUUUAAUACUAAUUAUGAAUAAAAAUCCUCGUUGAAGUGCCAUACAACAUAUUAUUGCAGCCAAUUAUCCCACCUGGAGUGUGCAAGGGCAAGCACACGAGUCAGGUUGUGCAGGACACGGACCGUGAUUCACUCCUUGGAUUUCCUGAGCUGAGCUCCCACGUGGAAAACUCCGUCCACAACCCCCCUGGGGAGGAUUGGCAGCAUGGCAGCGAGAAGUCAAGGGAGCUGUGGGGCUCAGAGUCUUAAAAAAAGGGAUCUGGGAGAUUCCAAAAAUGACCUCAAGCUCUUGCAGCACGUGGGCAUUCGAAACACAAACCCCGUUACGGUAACAGAGGUGACUGUGCUAAACAUGCAAGGAUUUCAUUUUCGAGUUAUUAAAAAAAAGUAGUAUUUAUUUAAGAUUCUUUCUGAAGGAAAUACAUUUAAAGUUUCCAUUUUGGACAGGGAAGUGAGAAUCCUUUUUGUCAGUAAUUAGUUAAAUGUCAGAUUGGGGAGGUUUGUGACUUCGGUAAAAUCUGUCCCUGGAAGUUUUUUAUUCAUCAAGACUUUCUUUAAGAUGCUUUUUCUUUUUUUUUAUCCAGCAGCUGAAACAGGUUUCUCUGCCAGCAAGGGCUUUAUUUCUUCAGACUCACCGAAAAUCUAUAAAAUCCAACAUUGCUAAUCAGGCAAGGACAAUCUGAAUUGCAAUUUGGUUGUUUUGGUUUUGAGUUCCCCCCCCCCCAGAUGUAUUACUCAACACACAUACAUAUUUUUAUUUCGUUCACAAAUCAAUUUGAAGUUUCAAACUUUGGCCAGAUUUUCUAAAAACUAAUGAAACCCAAGCAAAAAUUACGAUGUGCUUUCGUCAGCCACGUAAAGCUCAGGUUAUUUUUCUGCCCACAGAACAUGGAAGGAGGGAGGGACAAUUUAACCUGAAAAAGCUCUCCUUUUAAGUGUAGCUUGUGUCUUUUCAGCCUGAGGAAUGUUGAAAUGCACUGUGAAAAAUCAAUUUCAUAUAUUAAAGGAAAAUACGGCAUUUGAAACACGAAACUAACAGCGUAAAACUUAUCUGGCAUUUUGGAAACUGAAAGCAAGAUUGAAUAAGGAAAAAAUUUAAUAAGUAUAUGGGAGCCAGGAAAGUAGAUUAAAACAAUAGUAGAUUAAAACAACUCAGUGGACUUUACAUGAAACAGAAAGUGUGGUUAAAUUAUACUUUAAUUCUUUGAGAAAAGCUUUUCAACAAAUACUUUAAAUCAGAAUGUUACAAGUGUUAUUUUAAUAACUCAAAACUUCCUGUAAACAGCCAGCUGGCAGGGAUCUGUAUGUGUGUGUAUACACUUUAUGUGUAUAUAUAAAUAUAGAUAUAAAUAUAAUAUAUAUAUAUUAAUAUAUAUAUACUUUGUGGAUUAUUACAUUUUUAAGGAUAAAGAGAACCAUAAUCACAAUUUGCAUGAGCGUGGCACUUGCUGAGUUUGGAUUCUUUAAAAUAAUCUCCUAGAACCAGACACUUUGGUCAUGAAAUAACAUCAGCAGAGAACUGCCAUUUUCACAGGAGCUGGAAUAGGUUUUGCAUCAGAUAUUUGUGGCAAUUACAGAGAAACACAGUUACUGAAACACUCCCAAAACUCAUUCAGUGGAAUUUCCCCCCAAAUAUUAAAAACACCUGUGGUUAUGGGGAGGAUUUUUAUCUUCUCAUAAAUACCUGAGGAGCUUCACAAAUGUCAUUCCUGCACUUCCCCUCCCAGGAAAAGCCAACUUUCAUUAGCAGAGGGCUUGAAGGGAGUUCAGUUGGUGAACCACAGUCACUUUUAAAAACGAGCUGUGUUAUCUCCUGUUUCGUCAUGUUCUAAAUUAAGUAUAAUUGAGAAAAUGAAAAAAAAAAGGAAGUCCAAAAAACCCCAAAUAUUUUUUUUAUUAGAGCUUUAAAGAGGUGCUUUUUGUAUUUCAGGGCUGCAUUAGAGCUCGACUUUAUUACCAUCCCCUCCUAAUAUGAAAUAAAUAAAACUAGUGGUCCAUAUAUGUUGCAUAUUGGAAACACUCCAGUCUCAGUGAGCACAAAGAUAAAACAGCAGAUGACAAUUUUUCCUUAUAAAACUGAGAGUUAAACAGUGACUAUAAACACUGUUGGGAAACCAUAAUUUUGAAUUUUGUUUCUUCUUUGGCAGUUUAAGCAACGCCCAUCAAUCCAAGGGUCUUGGCAAAUCAGCUCCUUGUAUUUUAAAGAUAUAAAAAAUUCUACUUGGAAAUUUUAUGACUGAAUAAUAAAAGUUUAAUUGAGAAUGGCUCAGAAGGUAAAAAAGCUACUACAAAAAAGGAAAUAUUCUACAAAAAAACAGUAUGGAUUUUAAAUUAAAAGAUUCUGAGCAUUGGUGCAGCAUCAACCUGAGCUUUGUGUGGCUUUGUAUGGAUAACACAGAAAUAUAUUUCUCCUCUUAUUUGUGUUAGUGAUAAUAAUCACACACAAAUUUGGUGCAUCAAUCUAAAACAAGUCAGGUUGUUAUUUGGGAAAAAAAAAAUUCCUACAAAAGAUAAAUUCCUGGCAAACAGGAAAUGUCACAUCGAGAUCUGUGGGUACAAACCUGUAUCUGUGAAGACCUAUUAAAUAUAUUUUUAAAAGAU